rnacentral:rRNA from 1 species
CACGUAGGGCGCAAGCGUUGUCCGGAAUUAUUGGGCGUAAAGAGCUCGUAGGCGGUCUGUUACGUCUGCUGUGAAAACCCGGGGCUUAACCCUGGGCUUGCAGUGGAUACGGGCAGACUAGAGGCAGGAAGGGGAGAAUGGAAUUCCCGGUGUAGCGGUGAAAUGCGCAGAUAUCGGGAGGAACACCGGUGGCGAAGGCGGCAUCCUGGCCCUGACCUGACGCUGAGGCGCGAGAGCGUGGGGAGCAAACCGG